GACCUACGGGGGGCAGCAGUGGGGAAUAUUGCACAAUGGGCGGAAGCCUGAUGCAGCAACGCCGCGUGAGGGAUGACGGCCUUCGGGUUGUAAACCUCUUUUAGCAGGGAAGAAGCGAAAGUGACGGUACCUGCAGAAAAAGCACCGGCUAACUACGUGCCAGCAGCCGCGGUAAUACGUAGGGUGCAAGCGUUAUCCGGAAUUAUUGGGCGUAAAGAGCUCGUAGGCGGUUUGUCGCGUCUGCUGGGAAAUGCCGGGGCUCAACCUCGGGCCUGCAGUGGGUACGGGCAGACUAGAGUGCGGUAGGGGAGAUUGGAAUUCCUGGUGUAGCGGUGGAAUGCGCAGAUAUCAGGAGGAACACCGAUGGCGAAGGCAGAUCUCUGGGCCGUAACUGACGCUGAGGAGCGAAAGGGUGGGGAGCAAACAGGAUUAGAUACCCUAGUAGUCC
rnacentral:rRNA from 1 species